rnacentral:rRNA from 1 species
GACGAACGCUGGCGGCGUGCCUAAUACAUGCAAGUCGAGCGAACAGACGAGGAGCUUGCUCCUCUGACGUUAGCGGCGGACGGGUGAGUAACACGUGGAUAACCUACCUAUAAGACUGGGAUAACUUCGGGAAACCGGAGCUAAUACCGGAUAAUAUAUUGAACCGCAUGGUUCAAUAGUGAAAGACGGUUUUGCUGUUACUUAUAGAUGGAUCCGCGCCGCAUUAGCUAGUUGGUAAGGUAACGGCUUACCAAGGCAACGAUACGUAGCCGACCUGAGAGGGUGAUCGGCCACACUGGAACUGAGACACGGUCCAGACUCCUACGAGAGGCAGCAGUAGGGAAUCUUCCGCAAUGGGCGAAAGCCUGACGGAGCAACGCCGCGUGAGUGAUGAAGGUCUUCGGAUCGUAAAACUCUGUUAUUAGGGAAGAACAGAUGUGUAAGUAACUAUGCACGUCUUGACGGUACCUAAUCAGAAAGCCACGGCUAACUACGUG